UUUUUUUUUUUCCAAAGUAAUCACAUAUCUUGAGGUGCAGGGUGUGACAUAAUUAAACUUGUUUUUGUCACAGCGUGGUUCGGUGCCAAAAAAUAAAGAUGAGGAGGUUGUGUGAAAGACAGGCUUAUUUUCAGCUCUGGGCUGUUAGUCACCUGCUCUCACCCUGGGGUCCUGCAGGGGAUCAUCUUAUUUCUUCUCCGUGCAAAGAAAACAAAUAGGCAAUGGUUCAGCCUUCCCAGGUUGUCAGCGCCUGACUCCACGUCUCUGCCUUGUGCCAACAGACUCAGGAUUCAAGGACCUUUGACAGCAUCUUAGCUGUGGGGCACAGACCAUAUUUGAGAUUUUUAAGGAAAAUCGAGUUCAAUAGAAAGGGAACAGCCUCUGGGGUUCUUGCGAUUUUUUAGUUUGGACGGUAGCCUGUCGCCACGACCUGAAAACAAGUGUUGGCUUCAUCCAAGGCGCCAGUGUGGGGGCUUGUGUGUGUUUCUCGGGGCCACCGCAAGGCACUUCCUCAAGCUGGAGGUCUUGGAAUGAGAGACACGCACCUCCUCAUGGUGCUGGAGGCCAGAGGUACGUCCACAUCAAGGUGUCAGCUCGGCUGCAGUCCCUCCAAGGAACCGUCCUCCCCUGGGUCCCCCUAGUUCUUGAUCACUGGCUAUAGUCCUUGCUGCUCGCUAGCCGGCUCAUGGCCAUGUCACUCCGUCACUGCUUCCCCAUGGACUGGGGCUUGCUUUCUGUGUAUUUCUCUGCCCCAAUCUCCCUCUCUUUCCUUGGAUAAGGACACCAGUUACUAGAUGGAGGGGUCACCCUAAACCAAGGAUGAUCUCCGGCGGAGAUCCUCUGUCAAGGAUUUGCAGAGACCCUAUUUCCAACGAAGUCCCCACUCUGAGAUUCCCGGUGACCAUAACCUUGGGAGGGGAGCACCAUCUCUACCCGCGACAGGAAGUCCCUUUCCUGGUCUCUGUCCCCUUUCCCUGGCUCUCACUCUAUCCUGACCCCAAGGAGCUGAGAAGUCAUCUGGGGCAUGAGGAACAGGGGCAUUUAUUUAUUAACAGGGGCUGUUAUUUAUAGCGACACUGUGCUGGCAUCACAUAGCCGGGGCGAGAGCCAGGCUCAACCACCUGUACGAUGGCAGGCAGGCAUCAGAACAAACACUAAAACCUGCAGCGCUGGGACUGGGAACCAGGGCCACCAGGCUCAGGCUCCGGCGGAGGCUCGUCUGACUAAUGAGGCUGAAUGUGACAUAUCAGAUUUUUUGUCCCCCCCCGUCCUGGGGUAAUGUCUACCCUCGCCAUCUUAAUCAGCUCUGCCAGGACCGUUCGUUCAGCCCAGUCCCUUCUUUUCUCAUUUGCGUCUGUUACUUCUAGGUUGAAAAAACACCCGACACUCCCUUCUGCUGUGUUCCUUUCUGGGAGCUGGGUCCCGCGGGAGUGCGGCAGUGCCUGUUCCUCAAAGGCACACAGACACAAAAGGUUUGCUCUGGGCGCUGCCGGCUGGACCCAGGGGUGCCGCCCCCGUGCCAGGCUCACAUUCAGGCUGGAUGAGCUCUGCUUUGGGGAAUGCUGUUAGAGGUCAUGGACAUGUGUCUAGGACGCCCUGAGAUCUUGCAGCCCGUGGCGAGAAGGCGGUGGUGCUGAGCCAGCCAGGGCACAAAAGCAGAGGGCGACCCGCAGAAGGGUAUGUUGGGCGAAGGGGCAAAGCUGAGCUUGUGCUCUGCAGAGCUGGGGUGGGGACAUAAUUGCCAGUUUCAUCUCCUACAGGUAUUGAUUCAAGUCCACCCAAAUGAUACUCACGCACACACAAAGCUAUUGCCCUGACGGAUGAAGGCGCGAGACACCGGUGGCAUUUGCCUGCCUUUCUGGAAAUAGAUACCUCAGCAAACGUGAUAAUCACAGUGAUUGUGGGGAUGGCGCUGUGCGUAUGUGGUGAUUUUCUUUAUAGGGUCAGAAAUGAUGGAAGUUCUGCUUCCCCUCCUCCCCUCAGCUUACAGGGAAUAUUCAUGCUUUUAUUCUCUGGGCUGGGGUCUCUACCUUCAGAAUCCUGUCCCUCCCAAGCUCUACCUGGUAGCAGAUUGGAUGGGUAGUAGGACUGGAAAGCAUUGAUUUGAAGGCGUAGCCCUCUGGUCUCCCCAUCUGGAUGGAGCAGAUGGGUGGUUAGCUCACAGAAUCAGUCUGUUUUACCCCCCCCCCCAUGCAUGCCUGCAUCCGUCCACUCAGCAUUUUCUGAGCAUGGGCCACUCAGAACUUGAAUGCUCGCUGUGGGUCCACCAGGGGUAGGGAAUGAGCCAGGAGCUAGGAAGACAGCGUCCAGCAAGGCAGGUGGUUACAAGAGCAAUGGUUCCCCCCGCCACGGUGCAGGCUUUGGGGAUGUAAAGCAGGGUGGCCUGAGAAAGGCUGGGAGGAUGGAAGAGAAAACUGAAAGAACGUGACUUCAGGCACAGACCCAAAUAAUAACCAGGAGCACAAGAGGAGAAGAAGAGAAUAACAUUUUGGAUGCAGGUGUCAGUAGGGCAAAGGUUAAGAAAGCUGGAUUAGUCAGGGUAGGCUAGGGGAUGCCGCUAAAAAAAAAAAAUGAUUCAGUGUCAUCACUGGGGGUCUUGAUGACUGAAAGAAUGAGGCAGGGAGUCCGCAUGAGAAACAGAUGGAGAGGGUAGGGUGCUGGCUUUGCACAGGGAGGAGGGGGUCACGAGGCAAGGCAUGAAGGCCUCUGGUAGAAACUGCAAAACGUCGCAGAGGAUCCUUCCACUGGCCCUUCCACAGGGAAGGGGUUCCAGGAACUAGGACAGAUUCUGUUUUCCAUGCACAGGGUUUGAGGCGGAGAUGGACGGUGGGCAGCGGGAGGUAGGUACAGAGUCCAUAAGCCAGGUCUAGGCUGAGGUUGAGGAUUUCGGCGCAAGGAUCUCCAUGCAUGUGUGACUUUCCGCUGGCUGCAGGGAAGCGGAUGGUUCCAUCCCUACAGGAACACCCAUCAACCGUGCUUUGGCGUCCUUCUCACAGCAGCAGACGUGGAAGCUGUUGGGGGCUCGAAGGAGCACGGAGGAUGCGAGACUACUUGGGAGGCAGUGAUACAUACACACCAAGCUCUGUAUUAGGUUCUUGAGGUACACCCCCACUGUCCUAGGGUGGCUUCCAAUAUUUCAACCUAUCGGCCAUUCUUUUUCCGUCUAGACCAAGAUUUCCUAGCCUCCUAAAAAUGCACUGUCAAGUCCUCUGCAUCUUCAACACCAGAAGAACGCCUUGUGGUUUUGAGAGCCUGGCUGCCAUCAGUGACGUGAGGAAGAGAUUCCUGGGGAGUCCAGCAGAGCCAGAAUCAACACGGCAGCAGGUGUGGAAGGCAGCAGACCAGAGCUAUGCUGGAGAGGCUGCAAAGGAGAAAAUGCUGACUUGGGUAUUGGUCCAUGGCCACAAGAUCAGCAGGUGGGAUGUCUUCUCCAGUUUUGAUGUGGUGCUUCAUGGCUGAUUCCAGGUUUGCUGAUACUGAACGGAGGCUUGCACCCUAGCUGGUCCAUGCACUGAUUCACUUCCAUGCAAAUUCUAAGCAGGGAAGGAGGCUGGGCACACACACACAUCUGUUUAUACCCACUGCCAUCAACACGUGUGACAGUACUUUGUAUAUUCUCCGGGCCCUUUCAGCUUGGGCAGCCACUCAGUCUCCUGUUAGCCACGAUCACCAGCAAGCCCAGUUGUCUAAUAACUAACUCGACCUGAUCGUUAAGAUUCCUCACCUUAGCCUUCUCCAUCUAUGAAUUUGUAGACCUUGAAACCUGCAUGUUCUAAGGUGGUCAGCAUUUCCUCAUCCUACAACAAAAUUAGCAGAAAGAGGAGAAAGAGGGGAGGAAUUUUCUUUCCUCUAGGGCAAGAGUUUCCAAACUCUGGCACUAGCCAAACCCAGCCUGCUGCUUGCUGUCUUUUGUAAAUAAAGUUUUAUUAGCAUGAAGCCAAGUCCCAUUGUUUAUAUAUUGCCUGUGGUUGCUUUCGUUCUGCAACAAGAGAUGUGAGAAAUUACGAAGGGGCUCUCUGGCCCUCAAAGCCUCAAACCUUCACUAACUGGCCCUUUAUAGAAACUGUCUGCGGAUAUCCUCUAUAGGGAAUCAAGUCUUGGGGUGCAAAGAGUGUCACUAAACAGAUGCCUCCUCUGUGAUGUGCUUCAGAUACAGCUGUUUCAUAGCUUCAUAGUUGUUAUGAUGUGAGUUGAAUAACCAAAUAACAGCAAAUCUCAAGACCCUCGUGAGCACUUAGGAGUAGAAAGAACGAAAAAGGCAUACCAGGAGCAAUGGACAGAGGCAGAAAGACUGAGUUCUACCCCAAAGAAGAACAAAAUACUGAGGAAAAAAAAAACACCCAUUCCCAUAAGUUAAAUCUCUUCCCCACCUGUAAGAUGUCCACCUGCACCAUGAGAUAUAACCCUCUAGCUAUGUGCAGAUACGCCCACAGUCCUCAGAAUUUACAUCUGUCUUCUGACUCCAGUUUCAUCCUCCAACAUUUUUCUCAGUGAUAUGAAACUAAUUAAGUCUAAUGUCUUUGCCGUUCUUGGAAAAGAUUAUUGUUUUAACCACAUCUAAUAACACCUUAUGUGCUGUCCGCACUGAAGAAAAAAAUAUAUUCUCAUCUGAAAACAUGGAUGAAUAUUCUGCUCCAAAGUGGGGGUUCAUUUUCUGCCUAGAGAGCUGCCAUUUAAAAACAAUAUAGGAUAAUGUGAGAAAAAAAAUGUAUGCAUGCAUGUGUGUAGGACUGGGUCACUUUGCUGUACAGCAGAAAUUGACAGAUUGCAAAUCAGCUAUAACAAAAAUCUUAAAAAGUAAAACAUAGAAACGAUUUCACAUCCGUUAUGUGAGUAUAGAUUUUCACACAGCCCACUCUAGCCUUUUUACGAGAGUGGUCUUCCAGGCUGCAUACGUAUCUUUCUGGGACAUGGGCGGCAUGAAAAGAUUUCUGUAUUUAUGCGGGUCAGACCUACCCUUUUUGAUGCUUCUAAUUAGUGAAGAUCUGGUGAAUACAUUUCACAGUGGUUUCUAAUUGAUAUCCAUGUUGGAGUGUCUGUUAUGUCAAUCCUGAGCUCAGCGGAUGUCAGCUCCGAGAACUUCGUAGAUAGCUUUUCUUUUUUUCUUUCUUUUUUUUUUUUUUUGGUAUUCUCCUAGCUCCUGCUUCAUGCAUGAUAAUACUCUUCAAUAAUGCAAAAUCGUACAAUAGCUAUUCUUCAGCGCCAGACCUUAACAACCAAAAUCUUUAGCACUGGAUUCAGGCAGCAUUACACGUUCCACAUUUUACAAGGUCAUGGAGUUAAUAGUCACAUCCAUUUUUCUUCAUUUGUCUUGAAUGUUCUAACGGUUGUAUAUGACCAGACCAUCAAAAUUUUCCUAUUAAAAUGCAUAUUAGAAUAUUUAAUAAUAGGGUAAAAAAAUUUUUUUUCUAUUUCUGGAAAACGUACAGUUGGGUUUCAUUAGUCAAUGAAGAACGCAUUUACUCGGUGCAAAGAAGAAAGCGGUCACAGACAAAUGUGCAUGGGGCCUGGGUUUGGAAGACGAAGGUGAAAAGCAGAACAGCAAUGUCAGGAGUUCCUGUUGGGGUACAGUGGGUUAAGGAGCCUGUGCUGCCCCCUCCCCUGUAGCGUAGGUUGCAGCUGCGGCUCGGGUUCAAUCCCUGGCCUGGGAACGACCAUAUGCUGUGGAGAAGGUCAAAAAAGAAAAACAAGAAACAGCAGUGUCUACUGUAACAUUAGAGUAAAACAGACAAAGGUAGAGUUAACACAGAGCAGAGACCAAAUCUUUUUCACCAAGGCUGCCUUAGGCACACAAAUGUGCCCAAGUCACUCCUCACACAGUAAACUUACUCUGCUGUCCAUUGCUCUUUUAUGUUUUCAAAAAUAAAUUCUUUUUUUUUUUUUUUUGUCUUUUAUCUUCUUAGAGCAGCACUCACAGCAUAUGGAGGUUCUCAGACUAGGGAUCUAAUUGGAGCUGUAGCCACUGCCCUAUGCCAGAGCCACAGCAAUGCAUCUGUGACCUACACCACAGCUCACGGCAACACUGGAUCCUUAACCCAUGGAGCAAGGCCAGGGAUUGAACCUGCAACCUCAUGGUUCCUAGUCGGAUUCAUUUCUGCUGUGCCAUGAUGGGAA
rnacentral:lncRNA from 1 species